AACGAACGCUGGCGGCGUGCCUAACACAUGCAAGUCGAACGUGAUCCAGAGCUUGCUCUGGUGAAAGUGGCGCACGGGUGAGUAACGCGUAGAUAAUCUGCCUGAUGAUUUGGGAUAACACUUCGAAAGGGGUGCUAAUACCGGAUAAGCCCACGGAGUCCUUGGAUUCUGCGGGAAAAGGAGGGGACCUUCGGGCCUUCCGUAAUCAGAUGAGGCCGCGUACCAUUAGCUAGUUGGUAGGGUAAAGGCCUACCAAGGCGACGAUGGUUAGCUGGUCUGAGAGGAUGAUCAGCCACACUGGAACUGAGACACGGUCCAGACUCCUACGGGAGGCAGCAGUGGGGAAUUUUGCGCAAUGGGGGAAACCCUGACGCAGCAACGCCGCGUGAGUGAUGAAGGCCCUUGGGUCGUAAAGCUCUGACAGAGGGAAAGAAAUGUGGGUGGCUAAUAUCCAUUCCACUUGACGGUACCCUCAAAGGAAGCACCGGCUAACUCCGUGCCAGCCGCCGCAGUAAGAC
rnacentral:rRNA from 1 species